rnacentral:rRNA from 1 species
GACGAACGCUGGCGGCGUGCUUAACACAUGCGAGUCGAACGGAAAGGCCCUGCUUUUGUGGGGUGCUCGAGUGGCGAACGGGUGAGUAACACGUGAGUAACCUGCCCUUGACUUUGGGAUAACUUCAGGAAACUGGGGCUAAUACCGGAUAGGAGCUCCUGCUGCAUGGUGGGGGUUGGAAAGUUUCGGCGGUUGGGGAUGGACUCGCGGCUUAUCAGCUUGUUGGUGGGGUAGUGGCUUACCAAGGCUUUGACGGGUAGCCGGCCUGAGAGGGUGACCGGCCACAUUGGGACUGAGAUACGGCCCAGAUUCCUACGGGAGGCAGCAGUGGGGAAUAUUGCACAAUGGGCGGAAGCCUGAUGCAGCAACGCCGCGUGCGGGAUGACGGCCUUCGGGUUGUAAACCGCUUUCGCCUGUGACGAAGCGUGAGUGACGGUAAUGGGUAAAGAAGCACCGGCUAACUACGUG